AGGAGGACUCUAUCUUUUACUCCAUUCGGGACCAGAAAUCUCAAGUCUGCCUUUUUAUCAUAAACCAAACUACAAGACUUGAAGUGCCCUGGAUUUGCAAGUUGUACAAUGAGAGUCUCUGAUAAACUCUUAUUGUAGCUAUAGCACACUCUGUGCCCACCCCUUUCCCCUUUCCUCUGCCAACAAGACGCAGCAGCCAAUGAGAGCCAACUUUCUGAGACUGCCAGGCUCCUACUGUGGGUAUGUUACCCACAGAUAACCUUAACAAGGUCAAUGCAAUGUCAGUAGUGAAUCACCUGGUGUUAUCCAGGAAAUGUCAUCCUAUUUGCAUGAGGGAUCCCUCUGCUGCUCAGAUGGCCACAAGGAAGUGAUUUGUCCUGUCAAGUCUCAGAAAAUGGGAUUCUACAAUUAUAGAGGACAGGCUGUGGUCAACAGAAAAGACAACCCAGCAGAAAAAGGAUGCAGCCUGGGACCAGAAAGUGGUUGGAGGGAGACAGCUGCAGGCCCUUGUUCUCAAAGGCCACCAAGGUUAACAAGACCCAUGUUAAAUAUAUCAUUCCAAGUGCUGUGUAUGAACCCCUGGAGCAAUGGACUCAACCUAUUAUAGUGAAGGUCCAGAAGCCAGAAGGGAAGGCAGCUGAAGAUAAUCACAGAAAAGGCAGCUACUAAAACCCCAAGAAGAAUCCAGAAAACACAGAGUUCUACUCCAACUCACUGUGUUCCUGUUUACCGAGAUGAAUCUAAGCAUUAAAAGUUUCAACUUAAAGACUUCAAGAGUCUCCACAUAUACUAAGAUGCUGAAUUUACAGCCUUCUCUAACUGAAGUAGAGCUUAGGGGUGAUCUGUGAAGACUGUAUAAAUGAACUCAUCCAGGUCCUCCUGAAGAUAGUUUCCUAACAUGUAUUUCUGUAUAACUGAUAAUGCUAUGGCUUAAGAGGAAGAAGUUACUGAUGUCCUGUGAAGAAGGCCGGUGCAACAGCAAGGACUUAAGAGGGGUACCUACUUUCCCCAACAGCUUCUUCAGCAGCCCCAGAAACUGGAGGAGAGCUGGGCUGAUAACCUGGAAGUGCUCAAGGAACCCAGAAGUGACACCACACUUGGGGGCAAGGAGGCCUCCACCAAUCUUCUUUAAAAUAAGGGUCUGGAGUCCAUGUCUCACAAUUCCCAAGCAUCAGAACAUACAAAGCCUGCCCAGUCCUUUUGGCAAACAAAGCAGAGAACACUCACAGUUGCUGCAGUAGCUGAAGGGACUACUUUA
rnacentral:lncRNA from 1 species